ACUGGCCCAGGGGGGUUGGCAACGACCGCCCAGGGCCGGAAAGCUGGUCAAACUUGGUCAUUUAGAGGAAGUAAAAGUCGUAACAAGGUUUCCGUAGGUGAACCUGCGGAAGGAUCAUUACCGUGCCGUGGCAGCCGGCCCUCAAAAAGCCUGGCUGCUCACCUGGCCACCCGUGUUUACUUUACCUGUUGCUUCGGCGGGCCUGCGGGCUUGCUUGCUGCCGGGGGACCCUGGUUCCCGGGCUCGUGCCCGCCGAAGACCUUCUAAACCCUAGUUAAAGAUUGGCGUCUGAGUGAUUAAGAAAUCAGUUAAAACUUUCAACAACGGAUCUCUUGGUUCCCACAUCGAUGAAGAACGCAGCGAAAUGCGAUAAGUAAUGUGAAUUGCAGAAUUCCGUGAAUCAUCGAAUCUUUGAACGCACAUUGCGCCCCCUGGUAUUCCGGGGGGCAUGCCUGUCCGAGCGUCAUUGCAACCCUCAAGCGCGGCUUGUGUGUUGGGCCUCGUCCCCCGUGGACGUGCCCGAAAUGCAGUGGCGGUACCGUGCUCCGGUGCCUGAGCGUAUGGGCUUUAUCACCCGCUUCAAGGCCCGGCCGGUGCUUGCCGACUUUAAACUUUUUUAGGUUGACCUCGGAUCAGGUAGGGAUACCCGCUGAACUUAAGCAUAUCAAUAAGCGGAGGAAAAGAAACCAACAGGGAUUGCCCCAGUAACGGCGAGUGAAGCGGCAAAAGCUCAAAUUUGAAAUCUGGUUCCUUCGGGGCCCGAGUUGUAAUUUGCAGAGGACGCUUCGGGGGCGGUUGCGGUCUAAGUUCCCUGGAACGGGACGUCAUAGA
rnacentral:rRNA from 1 species